rnacentral:pre_miRNA from 1 species
CAUAUACUUUAUCCGUACGGAAUUAUUUGUUGCAGAAAUGGAUGUAUCUAGAUGUAUUUUAGUUUUAGAUACAUCCAUAUUCAAGACAAGUAAUUUCGAACGGAGGAAGUACAAG